rfam:Myotis davidii contig210793, whole genome shotgun sequence.
GUGCUCGUUUCGGCAGCACAUCCACUAAAACUGGACCGAUACAGAGAAGAUCAGCCUGGCCCUGCGCAAGGAUGACGCGCAGAUUUGUGAAGUGUUCCAUAUUAAU